rnacentral:rRNA from 1 species
UACGUAGGCAGCGAGCGUUGUUCGGAGUUACUGGGCGUAAAGCGUGCGCAGGCGGUUGUGCAAGACAGGUGUGAAAUCCCCGGGCUUAACCUGGGAACUGCACUUGUGACUGCACGGCUGGAGUACGGCAGAGGGGGAUGGAAUUCCGCGUGUAGCAGUGAAAUGCGUAGAUAUGCGGAGGAACACCGAUGGCGAAGGCAGUCCCCUGGGCCUGUACUGACGCUCAUGCACGAAAGCGUGGGGAGCAAACAGG